rnacentral:rRNA from 1 species
AUUGAACGCUGGCGGCAUGCCUUACACAUGCAAGUCGAACGGUAACAGGUCUUCGGAUGCUGACGAGUGGCGAACGGGUGAGUAAUGCAUCGGAACGUGCCCAGUUGUGGGGGAUAACUGCUCGAAAGAGCAGCUAAUACCGCAUACGACCUGAGGGUGAAAGCGGGGGAUCGCAAGACCUCGCGCAGUUGGAGCGGCCGAUGUCAGAUUAGGUAGUUGGUGGGGUAAAGGCCUACCAAGCCGACGAUCUGUAGUUGGUCUGAGAGGACGACCAGCCACACUGGGACUGAGACACGUCCCAGACUCCUACGGGAGGCAGCAGUGGGGAAUUUUGGACAAUGGGCGCAAGCCUGAUCCAGCAAUGCCGCGUGCAGGAAGAAGGCCUUCGGGUUGUAAACUGCUUUUGUCAGGGAAGAAAUCCUCUGGGUUAAUACCCCGGGGGGAUGACGGUACCUGAAGAAUAAGCACCGGCUAACUACGUGCCAGCCGCCGCGGUA